rnacentral:rRNA from 3 species
GUAGUGACCUGCGGAAGGAUCAUUA